rnacentral:rRNA from 1 species
CCUACGGGAGGCAGCAGUGGGGAAUAUUGGGCAAUGGGCGCAAGCCUGACCCAGCAACGCCGCGUGAAGGAAGAAGGCUUUCGUGUUGUAAACUUCUUUUAUGAGGGACGAAACAAAUGACGGUACCUCAUGAAUAAGCCACGGCUAACUACGUGCCAGCAGCCGCGGUAAUACGUAGGUGGCACGCGUUAUCCGGAUUUACUGGGUGUAAAGGGCGUGUAGGCGGGACUGCAAGUCAGAUGUGAAAAUUAUGGGCUCAACCCAUAACCUGCAUUUGAAACUGUCGGUUUUGAGUGAUGGAGAGG